rnacentral:pre_miRNA from 2 species
GAUUUCAACUGAAAAAGUCAUCAACAACAAAGUUGUAUAACUCAUCAAGAUUUAUGACUUCUAUUUUGAUCAUUUCUUCAUCCAACAAAGCGAUAGUAAUAUUUUCAUAAAAUUUACAUCUCUCUUAUAGUUUAUAAAACUAUAUAAGAGAUAUGUACAUUUUGUGAACAAUGUUACAAAUCAUUUUAUCGGAUGAAGAAAUGACCCAAAUAAAAGUUAUAGAUUUUGAUAAGUUAUACCACUUUGUUAUUGAUGACUUUUUCAGUUGAAUUC